rnacentral:rRNA from 1 species
UCAUAUGCUUGUCUAAAAGAUUAAGCCAUGCAAGUGCGAGUGAUUCGGUGCAUCCAUCAGUAAAAUGAGGGAAGGCGCUCAGGAUGACUGCGAAAGGCUCAUUAAAACAGUUAUUGGAUCUGGAUGGUCAGAAGAAGACAAGAAGGAUAAGGGUGUGAAAAUAGAGCUAAAACGAGGGAGGGGGAUCUCGAUCAAAGAGUGCGUAAAAACCACUUGAAUGAAGAAGGGAUUUCUAGAAUUUCAUAGAGAUAUGAGAGGGAGCAUGUGAAUAUUUGACCUAUCAACUGGGGAUGGUAGUAUAGGGGACUACGAUGGUGGUGACGGGUGACGGAGGAUCAGGGUUUGGUACCGGAGAGGGGGCCUGAGAGAUGGCCACCACUUCUAAGGAAGGCAGCAGGCGCGAAAAUUACCCAAUGUUGGAACAGUGAGGUAGUGACAAGGAAUAACUGUGAAGAGUGUAUUUUGCACUUUUCGUGGUAAUGGAAGGAGGAUAGAGAGGUUCUUGAGUAACGAUCAGAGGGAAAGUCUGGUGCCAGCAGCCGCGGUAAUUCCAGCUCUGAAAGCGUAUACUAGAGUUGUUGCGGUUAAAAAGCUCGUAGUUGGGAGAAGGAGACAUUGAGAAAAAUAGAGUGUUUAAGGGUGAAGUGGGAGAGCACAGGACGUCCUGAGGAGAGAAUCGAUGAGAGUCGACACUUUCCAGGGAGAGAAUAGAAACAAUAGAGGAUAUUAGUAUUUUAUAGUUAGAGGUGAAAUUCUAUGAUUUAUGAAAGACUAACAGGGGCGAAAGCAUUUAUCUCUUGUAUGUUUAUUGAUAAAGAACGAAAGUUAGGGGAUCGAAGAUGAUUAGAUACCGUCGUAGUCCUAGACUAUAAACAAUACUAACUAUGGAUUUGGGGGGCCGAAAGUGAUUCAUUCAUCACUUAGAGGGCGCGUGAGGACAUUGCGAGAAAUCAUUGAGUAUUUGAGUUCCGGGGGGAGUAUGGUUGCAAGACUGAAACUUAAAGGAAUUGACGGAGGGGCACCGCAAGGCGUGGAGCUUGCGGCUUAAUUUGACUCAACACGGAGAAACUUACCAGACCAAGACAUCAUUGAGGAUUGACAGACGAGGAGGUUUUUCGAGAUAGGAUGGGAGGUGGUGCAUGGCCGUUCUUAGUUGGUGGAGUGAUUUGUCAGGUUAAUUCCGAUAACGAACGAGAUUUUAGUGGAAGAGACGAAGAACUGAACGCAUAAUUCGAUUCUUUGGUUAUUUCAGAUGGAUAGGAAAAUAAACUAUAGGAAGAUUAAAGUGAUAACAGGUCUGUGAUGCCCUUAGAUGGUUUGGGCUGCACGCGUGCUACAAUGAUAGAGACAGAGAUCCACUGAGAGAGAGAACAUCUUUCUUGGAUUGACGCAUCGAAGGAUGGGUUGAAAGGAUGGAGAAUCUAUCAUGUUAGGGGAUUAACGAUUGGAAUUAUUCGUUAUGAACACGGAAUGCCUAGUAAGUAUAAGUCAACAGGUUAUAUUGAUUAGGUCCCUGCCUCUUGUACACACCGCCCGUCGCUGCUACCGAUUGAAUAGUAAAUGUGAAAUGGGAGGACUGGCCACUCUUGUUUAUUCAGGAGAGGAAAGGAAAACUAUUGAAUGUUUAUAUUUAGAGGAAGCAAAAGUCGUAACAAGGUUUCC